UGGGGAAUUUUGCACAAUGGGCGCAAGCCUGAUGCAGCAACGCCGCGUGAACGAUGAAGGUCUUCGGAUCGUAAAGUUCUGUUGCAGGGGAAGAUAAUGACGGUACCCUGUGAGGAAGCCCCGGCUAACUACGUGCCAGCAGCCGCGGUAAUACGUAGGUGGCAAGCGUUGUCCGGAAUUAUUGGGCGUAAAGCGCGCGCAGGUGGUUUAGAAAGUCUGAUGUGAAAGCCCACGGCUCAACCGUGGAGGGUCAUUGGAAACUAAUAAACUUGAGUGCAGGAGAGAAAAGUGGAAUUCCUAGUGUAGCGGUGAAAUGCGUAGAGAUUAGGAGGAACACCGGUGGCGAAAGCGGCUUUUUGGCCUGCAACUGACACUGAGGCGCGAAAGCGUGGGGAGCAAACAGG
rnacentral:rRNA from 1 species